GGCCUGAUGGUCUAGGGGUAUGAUUCUCGCUUUGGGUGCGAGAGGUCCCGGGUUCAAAUCCCGGUCAGGCUC
rnacentral:tRNA from 1 species